CAGCCGCCGCGGGAAUACGAAGGGGGCUAGCGUUGCUCGGAAUGACUGGGCGUAAAGGGCGCGUAGGCGGUUUAUACAGUCAGAUGUGAAAUUCCUGGGCUCAACCUGGGGACUGCAUUUGAUACGUAUGGACUUGAGUGGAGAAGAGGGUCGUGGAAUUUCCAGUGUAGAGGUGAAAUUCGUAGAUAUUGGAAAGAACACCGGUGGCGAAGGCGGCGACCUGGUCUUUAACUGACGCUGAGGCGCGAAAGCGUGGGGAGCAAACAGGAUUAGAUACCCCGGUAGUCCCUGUCUCUUAUAU
rnacentral:rRNA from 1 species